GCCGGUGAUCGGCGGGACCUUCACAUCCGCGGCCUUGAACGCCGCGAUCGCUCCGCCGCCGGUGCCGUCGUUGGCCGCCACCAC
rnacentral:tRNA from 1 species